UUAAGGGUUCGACUCCGGAGAGGGAGCCUGAGAAAUGGCUACCACAUCCAAGGAUGGCAGCAGGCGCGCAAAUUACCCACUCUCAGUACGAGGAGGUAGUGACGAAAAAUAACAAUGCGGGACUCAUCAGAGGCCUCGCAAUUGGAAUGAGCGCACUUUAAAUCGUUCGACGAGGAUCUAUUGGAGGGCAAGUCUGGUGCCAGCAGCCGCGGUAAUUCCAGCUCCAAUAGCGUAUAUUAAAGUUGUUGCAGUUAAAAAGCUCGUAGUUGGAUCUGGGGUUCGGGUCGGCGGUUUGCCGCUUCGGCGGCUACUGCCGUGCUCGACUCUUACUAGCCGGUGCGUCUUGCGAUGCUCUUCAUCGAGUGCCGUAGGAGCCUGGCAUGUUUACUUUGAAAAAAUUAGAGUGCUCAAAGCAGGCGAUUCCGCCUGAAUAGUGUUGCAUGGAAUAAUGGAAUAGGACCUCGGUUCUAUUUUGUUGGUUUUCGGAACUUGAGGUAAUGAUUAAGAGGGACGGUCGGGGGCAUUCGUAUUUCGGUGUUAGAGGUGAAAUUCUUGGAUCGCUGAAAGACGGACAAAUGCGAAAGCAUCUGCCAAGAACGUCUCCAUUAAUCAAGAACGAAAGUCAGAGGUUCGAAGACGAUCAGACACCGUCCUAGUUCUGACCAUAAACGAUGCCAACUAGCGAUCCGCAGUGGUUGCUAUAAACGGACUCUGCGAGCAGCUUCCGGGAAACCAAAGUGUUUGGGUUCCGGGGGAAGUAUGGUUGCAAAGCUGAAACUUAAAGGAAUUGACGGAAGGGCACCACCAGGAGUGGAGCCUGCGGCUUAAUUUGACCCAACACGGGGAAACUCACCCGGUCCGGACACUGUAAGGAUUGACAGAUCGAGAGCUCUUUCUUGAUUCGGUGGAUGGUGGUGCAUGGCCGUUCUUAGUUGGUGGAGUGAUUUGUCUGGUUAAUUCCGAUAACGAACGAGACUCUAGCCUGCUAACUAGUUGCGCCGUGUUCAUACGCGGCUGUAGACUUCUUAGAGGGACAGGUGGCGUUUAGCCACACGAAAUUGAGCAAUAACAGGUCUGUGAUGCCCUUAGAUGUCCGGGGCCGCACGCGCGCUACACUGAAGGAGUCAGCGUGUGCUAUCCGGGCUCGAAGAGUUCGGUAACCCGUUGAAACUCCUUCGUGCUUGGGAUUGUGGCUUGUAAUUAUCGCGCAUGAACGAGGAAUUCCCAGUAAGUGCAAGUCAUCAGCUUGCGCUGACUACGUCCCUGCCCUUUGUACACACCGCCCGUCGCUACUACCGAUUGAAUGGUUUAGCAAGGUACUCGGAUUGGUCUCGAUCUUGUACGAAAGUGCGGGAUCUGUGGCCGAGAAGAAGGCCAAACUUGAUCAUUUAGAGGAAGUAAAAGUCGUAACAAGGUU
rnacentral:rRNA from 1 species